AGCGAACGCUGGCGGCAGGCUUAACACAUGCAAGUCGAACGCCCGUAGCAAUACGGGAGUGGCAGACGGGUGAGUAACGCGUGGGAACAUGCCCUUUGGUUCGGAAUAACUCAGGGAAACUUGAGCUAAUACCGGAUAAGCCCGAGAGGGGAAAGAUUAUCGCCGAAGGAUUGGCCCGCGUCCGAUUAGCUAGUUGGUGAGGUAAUGGCUCACCAAGGCGACGAUCGGUAGCUAGUCUGAGAGGAUGAUCAGCCACACUGGGACUGAGACACGGCCCAGACUCCUACGGGAGGCAGCAGUGGGGAAUAUUGGACAAUGGGGGCAACCCUGAUCCAGCCAUGCCGCGUGAGUGAUGAAGGCCCUAGGGUUGUAAAGCUCUUUCGGCGGGGACGAUAAUGACGGUACCCGCAGAAGAAGCCCCGGCUAACUUCGUGCCAGCAGCCGCCGUAA
rnacentral:rRNA from 1 species